AUGCAUAUAAUCUAAUAUACAUAUAUAAAGGAGGCAUAUUUGCUGAAAGAUUAGAGCGCCACCUAGGAUUACUAAUGGUUUCGGCCAAUGAAAAAUAAGAUUUCUAAUUUCUUUUUGAAUUAAAAAAAUCAAGUGCCACGUAGAUAUUUUAAUUAAUUAAUUAUUAAUAUAUACAACUCCAUCGAAAAUCAAACACUCUAAUAAUUAAAAAAUAAUCGAUUUCCACAUAGAUAAUUAAUUAGGUGCCACGUAGAUAUUUUAAUUAAUUAAUUAAUUACUAAUAUAUACAACUCCAUCGAAAAUCAAACACUCUAAUAAUUAAAAAAUAAUCGAUUUCCACAUAGAUAAUUAAUUAGGUGCCACAUAGAUAUUUUAAUUAAUUAAUUAAUUACUAAUAUAUAAAACUCCAUCUAAAAUCAAACACUCUAAUAAUUAAAAAAUAAAUCUAAAAUAAAAUUCACCCAAAAUCAAACAAUAAUCUAAAAUAAAAUAAAUAAAAUUCAAUUUAAAAUCAAACAUUAAUCCAUAUUAGAGCGCCACGUAGGAAAAUCUAAUGGCUUCGGCCAAUGGAGGAAUAUUUGCUGAAAUAUUAGACCGCCACCUAGGAUUACUAAUGGUUUCGGCCAAUGAAAAAUAAGAUUUCUAAUUUCUUUUUUAAUUUAAAAAAUCAAGUGACACGUAGAUAAUUAAUUAGGUGCCACGUAGAUAUUUUAAUUAAUUAAUUAUUAAUAUAUACAACUCCAUCGAAAAUCAAACACUCUAAUAAUUAAAAAAUAAUCGAUUUUCACGUAGAUAAUUAAUUAGGUGCCACGUAGAUAUUUUAAUUAAUUACUAAUAUAUACAACUUCGUCUAAAAUCAAACACUAUAAUGAUUAAAAAAUAAAUCUAAAAUAAAAUUCAUCCAAAAUCAAACAAAUCUAAAAUAAAAUAAAUAAAAUUCAAUUUAAAAUCAAACAUUAACCAAUAUUAGAGCGCCACAUAGAAAAAUCUAAUGGUCUCGGCCAAUGAAAAAUAAGAUUUCAAAAUUAAUUUUGAAUUAAAAAAGUCGAGUGCCACGUAAAGAAAUGAUUAACUUUCACGUAGAUAUUUUUUAUUAAUUAUUAAUAUUACGCAUAUACAAUUUCAUCCAAAAACAAACACAUUCAUAAUAAAAAAAAAUCUAAAAUGAAAUUGAAUGCAACAUCAAAAACUAACCUAAUCUUUAACCUUUUAAAAGUGGGAGGCUAUAUUACUGUAGCUUAUCUACAGUAAAACAAAAACGCUUCGUUUAAUCUUCCCCUACUUUCUCGCUUCCACUCUACUCUUCUCAUCUCUCUCUUCUCUCAUUGUUUAUUCCGUCCUCACUAUUCUCUCUCCUCAAAUCCUCCCUAUCUAUGGAAGACUGAUCAUUCAUACAUCAAAGACCUCAAAGAAAUAUGUAUAUAUGGAAGGACAAACCAACAACUCUCAUGAAAAUACUGGGUUGAGACUUUACAACAACCCACGAAAAUACUUGGGGAAAAGUCAGAAAUUUUGAUGCAAUUAGACUUCGUUUGCCCAAAAAAAAAGAGGUGAUUAUUAGAAUUCAAACAUUUGUUUUUAUUAUAAACAGCAUUUAUUGAUCUUGAUUAUGUUCUUUAGUUUUAUGAAUUGUUAUUUUUGGAGUUGCCAGUUUAAUUGUGAUGAUCAAUUUUCUAUUUUUAUACCUUGACUUGGUGCGAUUUAUCCUAUUUGAAACACUGGAUCUUUUUAGGUUGUAUAAUUAAUUUCAUGAUUCCCUCAAAUGAAUGAUGGUGCUCAAUUUUAUAGAAAACAAAAAAUUGGCCAAAAGCGUUAUUAAUGGCAGACCUUCAAUGCUCCACAAGCUUCAAAAUAAUUCAUCGAACUUGAUUUAGAUCUCCUGUACGAGUCAUCCAAUAUUUAAAUUUACAGUAUAGCUGACAUUAUUUUAUGGGCGACCAGUGUAUUUUUACCAUUCGCUCAAUACAAUGAUAAGGGCGUUUUUACUUGCAAUAUAAAGAGGGAUAAUGAGUUAGUUAUUGGGUUGGCUUAGAGAUUUGUCAAUUCUCUGUAGUACUUGCAGUAAUUAUAUCUACAAAGGAACGAAAUUCAACUCUAGGAAAGAAGACGUGAUUGGCGAGGUAACCCUGAUUUCUCUAUAAAUAUCGAGCUAUAUUCUUUAGUCGAAAUUUAUGGUAUUUCUAGAUUUUUGUUUGAAUUUUAAUUUCUAUUAAACUAUCGUGAUUUCUAGGCUUCUAAGAUAUUUUCGACGAAUUUCUACAAUAUGAUUUCUCAAAAUGUAUUCACUCUUGCAAUUAAUCUUUCAGUGGGAAUCAAGAUUGCUCUAGCUCCUGUUGUUCUAGGUGCAAUUUAUAUAGACUUAAGGUUGUGAAGCUGGAAAUCAUCAAUGUGAAAAUCUUGUUGUUUGGGGAUUAUUUCACCUUGUUCAGCUUUGGCCUUGGGAGAGGUUUCCUAGACUAAGUCCAGAAAUUCAUUAUUAUUUUUUCUUCUUAUAAUCAGGUUAUGUGUUGUUGAUUUGUUAGCACUCUUAUAAUCAGGACAAUGCUGAUCGUGUUGUUAUGUCUGUCGCCAUUGUCCCUGACUUCAUUCCAAAACAAAAUCCGAAAAUAUCCUAGCUAACAUCAAUAUAGUCGAGGAUUUUAUACAGUCACAACUGAAUUUGUAGUAGCAGAAAUGUACAAAUGAGUGCAUGUUUUACUUUGAAUGUCAAGAUUUUACUUUUUCAAGUAAAAGCAGGUAUAAGGCUGUCUGAUUCUCGCAUGGCCUUCAAUACUCGAACUGUUAGCAUGCUGCACCCUUCGCAAAAUAUCCAGAAGAAACCGAGGGGCUUAGGGAGGGAGCUAUUGUCUUGUUGAAGUGGUUAGGUAGGUCAAGCCAGAUUUGCUACUUGGUUUCUGGAGUUGGCGGUCUCUUGAAUGAAGAGAAGUGGAUGUUUUUACCAACAUGGUAAUUGCAAGUGAUUAUUAUGAAGGACCAACCUGUCGUCCAAGUAUUUCAACUGGGUUCAAUACUAAUGAAGUACCUCAAUUAUCAGCUGAAAGUCUGGGGCAUCCUAUCAUUAAAAGUGAUUCUUUAGGCAGGGGUUCAUUUGUACCCAAUGACAUUAAUAUUGGUGGCAAGACUCCCUUUAGCCAAUGGCUUUACAAUCUCUCUAUACAAUAUCACCAGCAAAACAUUGUCUUGAUUGUAUCACAAGGUGUUGUAUUGUACUAAAGCUAUAUCUACCUAUUUUAUUUAGUAUUAAAUUCCUCUUUA